GGGAAGGUGGCUCAGUGGUAGAGCACUUGCCUUGCAUGCCUGAGACCCUGAGUUCGAUUCCUCAGAUUUUAUU
rfam:Dipodomys ordii contig_17717, whole genome shotgun sequence.